rnacentral:rRNA from 1 species
UACGAACCGUGCGAACGUUGUUCGGAAUCACUGGGCUUAAAGGGCGCGUAGGCGGGCGAUCAAGUCCGGGGUGAAAGCUUUCGGCUCAACCGGAAAAGGGCCUUGGAUACUGAUCGUCUGGAGGGAGGUAGGGGCCCGUGGAACUUCCGGUGGAGCGGUGAAAUGCGUUGAUAUCGGAAGGAACGCCGGUGGCGAAAGCGACGGGCUGGAUCUCUACUGACGCUGAGGCGCGAAAGCCAGGGGAGCAAACGGG